AUUGAACGCUGGCGGCAUGCCUUACACAUGCAAGUCGAACGGCAGCACGGGAGCAAUCCUGGUGGCGAGUGGCGAACGGGUGAGUAAAGUAUCGGAACGUGCCCAGUCGUGGGGGAUAACGUAGCGAAAGUUACGCUAAUACCGCAUACGAUCUAUGGAUGAAAGCGGGGGAUCGCCAGACCUCGCGCGAUUGGAGCGGCCGAUAUCAGACUAGGUAGUUGGUGGGGUAAAGGCUCACCAAGCCGACGAUCUGUAGCUGGUCUGAGAGGACGACCAGCCACACUGGGACUGAGACACGGCCCAGACUCCUACGGGAGGCAGCAGUGGGGAAUUUUGGACAAUGGGCGAAAGCCUGAUCCAGCCAUGCCGCGUGCAGGAUGAAGGCCUUCGGGUUGUAAACUGCUUUUGUACGGAACGAAAAGGUUUGGCCUAAUAAGCUGAGCUCAUGACGGUACCGUAAGAAUAAGCACCGGCCAACUACGUGCCAGCAGCCGCAGUAA
rnacentral:rRNA from 1 species